ensembl:misc_RNA Metazoa_SRP Metazoan signal recognition particle RNA
GCUGGGUGUGGUGGUGCGUGCCUGUAGUAUCAGCUAUUCAGGAGGCUGAGGCUGGAGAAUCUCUUGAGCCCAGGAGUUCUAGGCUGUAGUGUGCUAUGCCAAUCGGGUGUCCACACUAAGUUCAACAUCAAUAUGGUGACCUCCCAGGAGCGGGGGAAAACUCCCGUGCUGAUCAGUAGUGGGAUCGCACCUGUGAAUAGCCACUGCACUCCAGCCUGGGCAACAUAGUGAGACCCCGUCUUUU